AUGCAAGUCGAACGAUUAAACUUUCCUUCGGGAAAGAUAUAAAGUGGCGCACGGGUGAGUAACACGUAAGUAAUCUACCUUCGAGUGGGGAAUAACAUCGGGAAACCGAUGCUAAUACCGCAUAAUGCAGCGGCACCUAAUGGUGACAGUUGUUAAAGGAGUAAUUCGCUUGAAGAGGAGCUUGCGGCAGAUUAGCUAGUUGGUAAGGUAAUGGCUUACCAAGGCUACGAUCUGUAUCCGGUCUAAGAGGACGGUCGGACACACUGACACUGAAUAACGGGUCAGACUCCUACGGGAGGCAGCAGUCGGGAAUUUUGGGCAAUGGGCGAAAGCCUGACCCAGCAACGCCGCGUGAAGGAUGAAGUAUUUCGGUAUGUAAACUUCGAAAGAAUGGGAAGAAUAAAUUGACGGUACCAUUUAUAAGGUCCGGCUAACUACGUGCCAGCAGCCGCGGUAAUACGUAGGGACCAAGCGUUGUUCGGAUUUACUGGGCGUAAAGGGCGCGUAGGCGGCAAAUUAAGUCAUCUGUGAAAUCUCCGAGCUUAACUCGGAACGGUCAGGUGAUACUGAUCUGCUAGAGUGCGGAAGGG
rnacentral:rRNA from 1 species